UACGUAGGGUGCAAGCGUUAAUCGGAAUUACUGGGCGUAAAGCGUGCGCAGGCGGUGAUGUAAGACAGAUGUGAAAUCCCCGGGCUUAACCUGGGAACUGCAUUUGUGACUGCAUCGCUGGAGUGCGGCAGAGGGGGAUGGAAUUCCGCGUGUAGCAGUGAAAUGCGUAGAUAUGCGGAGGAACACCGAUGGCGAAGGCAAUCCCCUGGGCCUGCACUGACGCUUAUGCACGAAAGCGUGGGGAGCAAACAGG
rnacentral:rRNA from 1 species